UACGUAGGGACCGAGCGUUGUCCGGAAUCAUUGGGCGUAAAGAGCGUGUAGGCGGCCACUUAAGUCCUGCGUGAAAUCUUGCGGCUCAACCGCAAGCGGUCGUGGGAAACUGGGUGGCUAGAGUGCGGGAGAGGAGAGUGGGAAUUCCUGGUGUAGCGGUGGAAUGCGCAGAUAUCGGAAGGAACAUCAGUGGCGAAAGCGACUUCCUGGACCAAUACUGACGCUCAUGUGCGAAAGCGUGGGGAGCAAACAGG
rnacentral:rRNA from 1 species